GAUGAAGAACGUAGCGAAAUGCGAUAAGUAGUGUGAAUUGCAGAAUUCAGUGAAUCAUCGAAUCUUUGAACGCACAUUGCGCCCCUUGGUAUUCCAUGGGGCAUGCCUGUUCGAGCGUCAUUUGUACCCUCAAGCUUUGCUUGGUGUUGGGCGUCUUGUCUUGUAUUAGACUCGCCUUAAAGUCAUUGGCAGCCAGUGUUUUUGGUAGUAAGCGCAGCACAUUUUGCGUCUUAGUCCUUGAAUCGUGGCAUCCAUGAAGCCUUUUUUCACUUUUGACCUCGGAUCAGGUAGGGAUACCCGCUGAACUUAAGCAUAUCAAUAAGCGGAGGA
rnacentral:misc_RNA from 1 species